rnacentral:lncRNA from 1 species
CUCAAAGCAUGCUGUAAGCCUCUACUCACCAUACAACUUUUGUAGGUGAGUGAUCAUAGCCCUGAUAGUGGGCAUAUGCUUAUGCUGACUUUGUAACUCGUUUGACAUUGAUACCAGCACAUAGCACUUGAUUCAACUAUCUUCAUCCGUCUACUUCUUAAAAGCAAUCCUUUACUCAGUAGUAGGAUGGUUUGGUAGCACUAUAGGUUUUUGAUUGAGUAUAUGAUCUAGUUUUUUUGAGGUUAGGAUAAUCUUGAGAUUUCUGAGUUAGUCUUUAUAAUUUAUAUCGAUUAAAUGAUUAGUUUCAAGGAUGCGGGCU